rnacentral:rRNA from 1 species
CCUAUACAUGCAAGUCGAGCGGACCGACGGGAGCUUGCUCCCUUAGGUCAGCGGCGGACGGGUGAGUAACACGUGGGUAACCUGCCUGUAAGACUGGGAUAACUCCGGGAAACCGGGGCUAAUACCGGAUGCUUGAUUGAACCGCAUGGUUCAAUCAUAAAAGGUGGCUUUUAGCUACCACUURCAGAUGGACCCGCGGCGCAUUAGCUAGUUGGUGAGGUAACGGCUCACCAAGGCGACGAUGCGUAGCCGACCUGAGAGGGUGAUCGGCCACACUGGGACUGAGACACGGCCCAGACUCCUACGGGAGGCAGCAGUAGGGAAUCUUCCGCAAUGGACGAAAGUCUGACGGAGCAACGCCGCGUGAGUGAUGAAGGUUUUCGGAUCGUAAAACUCUGUUGUUAGGGAAGAACAAGUACCGUUCGAAUAGGGCGGYACCUUGACGGUACCUAACCAGAAAGCCACGGCUAACUACGUGCCAGCAGCCGCGGUAAUACGUAGGUGGCAAGCGUUGUCCGGAAUUAUUGGGCGUAAAGCGCGCGCAGGCGGUUUCUUAAGUCUGAUGUGAAAGCCCCCGGCUCAACCGGGGAGGGUCAUUGGAAACUGGGGAACUUGAGUGCASAAGAGGAGAGUGGAAUUCCACGUGUAGCGGUGAAAUGCGUAUAGAUGUGGAGGAACACMASUGGSGAAGGCGACUCUCUGGUCUGUA